rfam:Mustela putorius furo unplaced genomic scaffold scaffold00055, whole genome shotgun sequence.
AGCUUUGCGCAGUGGCAGUAUCGUAGCCAAUGAGGUUUAUCCGAGGCGCGAUUAUUGCUAAUUGAUUAUUGCUAAUUGAAAUAACAGGAGUCAGAUGGGGUCUCUGUAAGGAAUCUCUACAAGUGUAGCCCACUCCAAACA